CAGCGCCACAAGUGGCAGCCGUAUUUAUUGGGCCUAAAGCGUCCGUAGCCGGUCUGAUAAGUCUUUUGUGAAAUCGUUGAGCUUAACUUAACGGUAUGCAAGAGAUACUGUCAGUCUAGGAACUGGGAAGGGCUAGAAGUAUUCUGGGGGGAGCGGUAAAAUGCUAUAAUCCUCGGAGGACUACCAGUGGCGAAAGCGUCUAGCUAGAACAGCUUCGACGGUGAGGGACGAAAGCCAGGGGAGCAAAACGGAUUAGAUACCCGAGUAGUCC
rnacentral:rRNA from 1 species